rnacentral:rRNA from 1 species
UGGGCAGCUACACAUGCAGUCGACGGAUCCUUCGGGACUAGUGGCGGACGGGUGAGUAACACGUGGGAACGUGCCCUUUGGUUCGGAACAACUCAGGGAAACUUGAGCUAAUACCGGAUGUGCCCUUCGGGGGAAAGAUUUAUCGCCAUUGGAGCGGCCCGCGUCUGAUUAGCUAGUUGGUGGGGUAAAGGCCCACCAAGGCGACGAUCAGUAGCUGGUCUGAGAGGAUGAUCAGCCACAUUGGGACUGAGACACGGCCCAAACUCCUACGGGAGGCAGCAGUGGGGAAUCUUGCGCAAUGGGCGAAAGCCUGACGCAGCCAUGCCGCGUGAAUGAUGAAGGUCUUAGGAUUGUAAAAUUCUUUCACCGGGGACGAUAAUGACGGUACCCGGAGAAGAAGCCCCGGCUAACUUCGUGCCAGCAGCCGCGGUAAUACGAAGGGGGCUAGCGUUGCUCGGAAUUACUGGGCGUAAAGGGAGCGUAGGCGGACUGUUUAGUCAGAGGUGAAAGCCCAGGGCUCAACCUUGGAAUUGCCU